rnacentral:rRNA from 1 species
GACGGGGGAUGCAAGUGUUAUCCGGAAUCACUGGACGUAAAGCGUCUGCAGGUGGUUUCCUAAGUCCACUGUUAAACCUUGAGGCUCAACCUCAAAUCUGCAUUGGAAACUAGGAGACUUGAGUAUAGUAGGGGUAGAGGGAAUUUCCAGUGGAGCGGUGAAAUGCGUAGAUAUUGGAAAGAACACCGAUGGCGAAGGCACUCUACUGGGCUAUUACUGACACUCAGAGACGAAAGCUAGGGGAGCAAAUGGG